AGAGAUGCCCUAAAAACAUCUACCUUUACUCACACUCGCACUUACCCUGAUGACAUUUUGAUGCAAACUUUCUCUGACUCCCAGACUAGAAGAGACCAAAGGAUGCUACCAAAAUCAGUCCCUGUCUUCAAGCAAAAGUGCUCACUGCAUUUCAGAUCUUCUCGGAGGAAGAGUCCAGCCUCACCUAAGACACUCACCUGCACAAUGAAUGACACGUGACAUUGUCAUGGCAGCUUUUGUCCUGACCUAGCCUUAGGUAGCACUGACAAAUCCACUGCGUGCUCACUAUUGGGUCAUUUGACAUUUGGAAUCGGUGACCUGACAACACUGCCGUACGGAAAGGCUAACGGAAACAGAGGCUGCAGCCACAGCCCAGGAACGGUGGUCUUUCGCACACAUGGGGCAGCCUCUGCCACAACUUUUUCUUCCAAGGAAAUCAACACAAAUGAAAACUGGCUGAUGCUCUGGUCCACCAGAGGCUGAAGAAGAAAACCGCAAAAUGGAGACUGCCCAAUUCUAAUUUAAUUCAGAAGAACAAACAGGGCAUCACUCAGCGGACUUCAAAUCCCCAGUCAGAAGAUUUUGCCCGUGGAGCAAAUCGUUUCAUGGGCCAUCUACCCCACCUACUCCCUCCUGCCACAGCAAGGAGGUGAAAAUAGCUCAUGAAGCCAUGGGGAGUUCAAAGUGGAACUGUGAAGUUUCCCAAGCUCCAUGCAGGUCACUGAAGUCCACCCUGCAAACAACAGUCCUUCACCUUCUGAAGACCUGUCACCUAUGAAGCAGCAAGGAAGGAAUUUCUUGGCUCUGCUUCCUGGCAGUCAUUACCUGUGAUCUUCUAUCCCAAUUGGUUGACCCUAGCAACUGAGCCCCAUGAAAUAUGUAUUUAGUGGACUGAAUGAAUUGGACAAUUGAAUCAGAAAAAGCAACAAGAACUCCCAAGGUUAAAACAAGUCCAGGACUACACUCCUCUCUUCCUGCCUCUCCACAUUGAUCUGCAGCUUCUAGAGAAGACUGAGCAAAGAGAUGCUGGUGUCUUUGACUUCAGGGAAGAGCAAUGUCAAGGAGAGAGGCCAGCAGAUUUUUUUAAAUCUCUAUUCACCUGUCACUGUCCAGCCUGCCAUUGUGGUGGGUGAAGACAACAUUUAGGGAUUCUAGUGCUAGUAGGAUACAAACAACAUUUCUAUUUUGUUAUUAAGUAAAUAAAUACCACUCUUUAUCAACCUGCUCCUUCCUGGCGUGCAGAAUGACUUAUAGCUAAGGUAAAUGGUCGCUCAGGAACUCAUAGCACGUACCCACUUCCAGGUAGCUUCAGCUGAGCAUUCAGCACAACACAGCAUAAGGGCUAACAGUGAGCAGAAAGCCCCAAAACUCAGCACCUGUCUUUUUAGUAUCUCAUAGAGAAAAAUAAAUGCAGAAAGCAUAUUGAAAGUGGGGAAAGCAUGCAGUCUUCUGAGGUUAGGGCCAGGCUGCAGCAACAGCUAUGGUUGGCUGGACUCCCUGACACCAAAGAAGAAAAUGCUGUAUGCUUUCAAGGAGCCUUCUGGAGUACUGAGCUAGGACAUAAAAACAUUCAACUGCUCUUGCCAUUUGAAUGGGGAAAUAUAUGGUUCUAGGCCUGCAGCAAGAAAAGUGGUGCAUUCCACCCAGCAUUCUCAUUCUAAAAUGCAAAUUGGAUCACGUCUGUCUUCAGCUUCAUGGUAUUCAUUGGUUUUAGAUGAAUUGCAAAGUCUUUAACAUCGCAGAGAAGGCUUUUUCUGGUCUGACCGCAGCCUAUUUCCCCAGGUUUAUCUCUCACUCCAUCCCAUACCUGCACUGGCCUUCUGUUUUCUAAUUAUCUUACUGACCUGCCAUUCCCAGAACCCACCAUGUUUUCUCUUAUACCUGGAUUUUGCACAUGCUGUUCCCUCUACCUGGAACAUAUUUUCCCCACCCAUCCAUUCUCUGGCUAACUGUUACUGGACUGAAAAGCAUAUCACAGAAAACAAACAGUACCAGCUGUCAGCGGACAGUUUUUGCAUUGUAUUAAUAUUUUCUUUCUCUGAAGCUCCAGAGACCAAAAAUGUACAAAACAAC
rnacentral:lncRNA from 1 species